GUCUGGCUGGACUCAUCUCCUUCUGUGAGGCCCCAGCUGUGCCCUAGCGGUUCUUGCCCCUUUGGUGCUUCAGAGUGAGAGCCGGGGACCCCGUUCCUGGGAGUCUGGAUUAGCCUGGCUUAACCCAGGGCCUUUUCCUAUGUUACUCCCUGGCUUGAGAGCAGCUGGAGGGGCCAUUGUGGUUCCUGGGCUAAGUCCUCAGAGCACUGUUUCGGGUCACUUUUAAUGUUGCUCAGGGCUUACUGUAUGAGCUGUCCCUGACUGUGACCUCCUUUAAAAACUCUACCAUGCCCAAAGGCCACCUUAUGAAGGCACUGUACACAUACCUUUGAGUCACCCAGGCAGGCUGCAGGGCUCUCGGGACGGUAUUCAGUGGCAAAGGAAAUGGUUGCAAACAUCUGUGAUUAUUUUACGUUAAAAUGCUCUGUCCCAGGCCCUGUGUGGCUUAUCAGAGGCGCGAAGUGAACUUGGAGUGGCCCUUGAAGCACUGUGUCCUGAAGGGGAACUCACCCACUGCGGCUCUGUCCAGGACCCAUCAACCAUGAGGUCUAGACUUAUUUCCGAGAAUGAUUACUUACAAAUCUUAGGAACAAUAUAUGCUUAUUAUCAACAUGCAGAAAAGUAGGAGGAAGAAAAUAAUCCCCCGUGUAGACUAAAGGCUUGCUGCUACUUCAACAACAUGAGACCUUAUGACAUGAUAUUAUAUAAUAUGAUAUCAUAGAUAUCAUUAUGAUACGUUAUGACAUAAUCUGAUCAUCAUGGAAAAGCUGUUUACAGGGGAGGGAGUCGUGACGUGAGAGGGAAUAUUGGCAACAGAGCUGGUGUCAGCAGUGACCAAGUGGAGGAGCCGUGCUCAGAGGUCCUGGUACCCGGAGCCCAGAGAGCCGUGGGGGCUGGAGAAGCAGGGACCAUGAGUGAGGCUGGGA
rnacentral:lncRNA from 1 species